rnacentral:rRNA from 1 species
CCACCGCUAUCAAGUUCCGACUAAGCCAUGCGAGUCAAGGUAUCGUAAGAUGCCGGCAAACUGCUCAGUAACACGUGGAUAAUCUAACCUUGAGUAAGGGAUAACCUCGGGAAACUGAGGAUAAUACCUUAUAAUUGCUUAAAACUGGAAUGUUUAAGCAAUAAAAGUUCCGACGCUCAAGGAUGAGUCUGCGACCUAUCAGGUAGUAGGUGGUGUAAUGGACCACCUAGCCCCAGACGGGUACGGGCCCUGGGAGGGGUAGCCCGGAGAUGGACUCUGAGACAUCAGUCCAGGCCCUACGGGGCGCAGCAGGCGCGAACACUGUGCAAUGCGCGAAAGCGCGACACGGGGAGCUUGAGUGUCUUGGCAUAGCCAAGACUUUUCUCAUUCCUAAAAAGCAUGAGGAAUAAGUGCUGGGUAAGACGGGUGCCAGCCGCCGCGGUAACACCCGCAGCACAAGUGGUGGUCACUUUUAUUGAGCCUAAAGCGUUCGUAGCCGGUUUUGUAAAUCUUUA